rnacentral:rRNA from 1 species
GACGAACGCUGGCGGUGUGCUUAACACAUGCAAGUCGAACGGUAAGGCCCUUUCGGGGGUACACGAGUGGCGAACGGGUGCGUAACACGUGAGUAACCUGCCCUCAUCUCUGGGAUAACAGUCGGAAACGGUUGCUAAUACUGGAUAUGAGCCUGCAAGGCAUCUUGUGGGUUGGAAAGAUUUUUUGGUUGGGGAUGGACUCGCGGCCUAUCAGCUUGUUGGUGAGGUAGUGGCUCACCAAGGCUUCGACGGGUAGCCGGCCUGAGAGGGCGACCGGCCACAUUGGGACUGAGAUACGGCCCAAACUCCUACGGGAGGCAGCAGUGGGGAAUAUUGCACAAUGGACGGAAGUCUGAUGCAGCAACGCCGCGGGCGGGAUGACGGCCUUCGGGUUGGAAACCGCUUUCAAUUGUGACGAAGCUUUUUGUGACGGUAGCAGUAGAAGAAGCACCGGCUAACUACGUG